rnacentral:rRNA from 1 species
GUGAGGAAUUUUCCGCAAUGGGCGAAAGCCUGACGGAGCAAUGCCGCGUGAAGGAUGAAGGCCUAUGGGUUGUAAACUUCUUUUCUCAGAAAAGAAUUAUGACGGUAUCUGAGGAAUAAGCAUCGGCUAACUCUGUGCCAGCAGCCGCGGUAAGACAGAGGAUGCAAGCGUUAUCCGGAAUGAUUGGGCGUAAAGCGUCUGUAGGUUGUUUAAAAAGUAUUCUGUCAAAGAUUAGGACUUAACCCUAGAUAGGCAGAAUAAACUUUUAAGCUAGAGUUUGGUAGAGGCAGAGGGAAUUCCCGGUGGAGCGGUGAAAUGCGUAGAUAUCGGGAGGAACACCAAAGGCGAAGGCACUCUGCUGGGCCAAUACUAACACUGAGAGACGAAAGCGAGGGGAGCAAAUGGGAUUAGAAACCCUUGUAGUCC